rnacentral:rRNA from 1 species
GCAGCUCAUGCAGUCGAGCGGUAGAGAGGUGCUUGCACCUCUUGAGAGCGGCGGACGGGUGAGUAAUGCCUAGGAAUCUGCCUGGUAGUGGGGGAUAACGCUCGGAAACGGACGCUAAUACCGCAUACGUCCUACGAGAAAGCAGGGGACCUUCGGGCCGCGCUAUCAGAUGAGCCUAGGUCGGAUUAGCUAGUUGGUGAGGUAAUGGCUCACCAAGGCGACGAUCCGUAACUGGUCUGAGAGGAUGAUCAGUCACACUGGAACUGAGACACGGUCCAGACCUACGGGAGGCAGCAGUGGGGAAUAUUGGACAAUGGGAAAGCCUGAUAGCCAUGCCGCGUGUGUGAAGAAGGUCUUCGGAUUGUAAAGCACUUUAAGUUGGGGAAGGGCAUUAACCUAAUACGUUAGUGUUUUGACGUUACCGACAGAAUAAGCACCGGCUAACUCUGUGCCAGCAGCCGCGGUAAUACAGAGUGCAAGCGUUAAUCGGAAUUACUGGGCGUAAAGGCAGGUGGUUCGUUAAGUUGGAUGUGAAAUCCCCGGGCUCAACCUGGGAACUGCAUUCAAAACUGUCGAGCGAGUAUGGUAGAGGGUGGUGGAAUUUCCGUGUAGCGGUGAAAUGCGUAGAUAUAGGAAGGAACACCAGUGGCGAAGGCGACCACCUGGACUGAUACUGACACUGAGGUGCGAAAGCGUGGGGAGCAAACAGGAUUAGAUACCGGUAGUCCACGCCGUAAACGAUGUCAACUAGCCGUUGGGAGCCUUGAGCUCUUAGUGGCGCAGCACGCAUUAAGUUGACCGCCUGGGGAGUACGGCCGCAAGGUUAAAACAAUGAAUUGACGGGGGCCCGCACAAGCGGUGGAGCAUGUGGUUUAAUUCGAAGCAACGCGAAGAACCUUACCAGGCCUUGACAUCCAAUGAACUUUCCAGAGAUGGAUUGGUGCCUUGGAGCAUUGAGACAGGUGCUGCAUGGCUGUCGUCAGCUCGUGUCGUGAGAUGUUGGGUUAAGUCCCGUAACGAGCGCAACCCUUGUCCUUUACCAGCACGUUAUGGUGGGCACUCUAAGGAGUGCCGGUGACAAACCGGAGGAAGGUGGGGAUGACGUCAAGUCAUGGCCCUUACGGCCUGGGCUACACACGUGCUACAAUGGUCGGUACAGAGGGUUGCCAAGCCGCGAGGUGGAGCUAAUCCCACAAAACCGAUCGUAGUCCGGAUCGCACUGCAACUCGACUGCGUGAAGUCGGAAUCGCUAGUAAUCGCGAAUCAGAAUGUCGCGGUGAAUACGUUCCCGGGCCUUGUACCCGCCCGUCACACCAUGGGAGUGGGUUGCACCAGAAGUAGGUCUAACCUUCGGGGGACGGUACCACGGUGA